GAUGAACGCUGGCGGCGUGCCUAAUACAUGCAAGUCGAGCGAACGGACGAGAAGCUUGCUUCUCUGAUGUUAGCGGCGGACGGGUGAGUAACACGUGGAUAACCUACCUAUAAGACUGGGAUAACUUCGGGAAACCGUAGCUAAUACCGGAUAAUAUUUUGAACCGCAUGGUUCAAAAGUGAAAGACGGUCUUGCUGUCACUUAUAGAUGGAUCCGCGCUGCAUUAGCUAGUUGGUAAGGUAACGGCUUACCAAGGCAACGAUGCAUAGCCGACCUGAGAGGGUGAUCGGCGACACUGGAACUGAGACACGGUCCAGACUCCUACGGGAGGCAGCAGUAGGGAAUCUUCCGCAAUGGGCGAAAGCCUGACGGAGCAACGCCGCGUGAGUGAUGAAGGUCUUCGGAUCGUAAAACUCUGUUAUUAGGGAAGAACAUAUGUGUAAGUAACUGUGCACAUCUUGACGGUACCUAAUCAGAAAGCCACGGCUAACUACGUG
rnacentral:rRNA from 1 species